rnacentral:lncRNA from 1 species
AGCUGAAAUAUAUAAACACACUAAAAACUGAAAAAGAUUUAAAUUCCUAUAUCAACAUAUAUCAAAUUCCACAUAGUUUCAGAUUGUUACAAUGGAAGCAGCGCGAACUACUUUGAGAAAAGUGAGUCAUGUUCAUCAAUUUCCAAAUAAAUAAGCAAUAAUCCUUUUCCAUAAUUGAUUAGUUUCAUAACUUUCAAUAAUCCUUUUCCAUAUUUCUUCUUCUAGAUUAGUUCUUUCUAGAGUGGAUGCUACACUUUGAGGCGACCUGUUUUCAUGAAAAUCAUUUCAGGGAGGUGGCUAAGUC